AAUUUCGUGGUGUAGCGGUGAAAUGCUUAGAUAUCACGAAGAACUCCGAUUGCGAAGGCAGCUUGCCGCAGCGUUACUGACGCUGAAGCUCGAAGGUGCGGGUAUCGAACAGGAUUAGAUACCCUGGUAGUCCGCACAGUAAACGAUGGAUGCCCGCUGUUCGCCUAUUUAGGUGAGUGGCCAAGCGAAAGCGUUAAGCAUCCCACCUGGGGAGUACGCCGGCAACGGUGAAACUCAAAGGAAUUGACGGGGGCCCGCACAAGCGGAGGAACAUGUGGUUUAAUUCGAUGAUACGCGAGGAACCUUACCCGGGCUUGAACUGCAGGAGAACGAUACAGAGAUGUUGAGGUCCUUCGGGACUCCUGCGGAGGUGCUGCAUGGUUGUCGUCAGCUCGUGCCGUGAGGUGUCGGCUUAAGUGCCAUAACGAGCGCAACCCUUGUCCUCAGUUGCCAUCAGUUCGGCUGGGCACUCUGUGGAUACUGCCACCGCAAGGUGUGAGGAAGGUGGGGAUGACGUCAAAUCAGCACGGCCCUUACGUCCGGGGCUACACACGUGUUACAAUGGCGCAUACAGAGAGUCGGCCGCCGGCAACGUCGGUCCAAUCCUUAAAAUGCGUCCUAGUUCGGAUUGGGGUCUGCAACCCGACCCCAUGAAGCUGGAUUCGCUAGUAAUCGCGCAUCAGCCAUGGCGCGGGAAAC
rnacentral:rRNA from 1 species